UACGGAAGGCAGCAGUGGGGAAUAUUGCACAAUGGGCGCAAGCCUGAUGCAGCCAUGCCGCGUGUAUGAAGAAGGCCUUCGGGUUGUAAAGUACUUUCAGUCGUGAGGAAGGUGUUAAGGUUAAUAACCUUAGCAAUUGACGUUAGCGACAGAAGAAGCACCGGCUAACUCCGUGCCAGCAGCCGCGGUAAUACGGAGGGUGCGAGCGUUAAUCGGAAUUACUGGGCGUAAAGGGCACGCAGGCGGUUAAUUAAGUUGGAUGUGAAAUCCCCGGGCUUAACCUGGGAAUGGCAUUCAAGACUGGUUAGCUAGAGUCUUGUAGAGGGGGUAGAAUUCCAUGUGUAGCGGUGAAAUGCGUAGAGAUGUGGAGGAAUACCGGUGGCGAAGGCGGCCCCUGGACAAAAGGACUGACGCUCAUGUGCGAAAGCGUGGGGAGC
rnacentral:rRNA from 1 species